CUUAACCAUUAUGCAAGGCUGCUUAUAAUGUCAGAGGAAUGGUUUCCAGAAUUCACACACAAUCUUAGUGUUCAUGGUAAACUGAACACCAAAAGAUGAGGCAAAUUCUAUGCCCCUAUCCCUGAAUCUGGGCAUGUUUGUGACUACCUUAACCAACGAAUUAUGGAGAAGUGACACUAGAUGACUUCCAAAGCUAUGUCAUAAAAAACAAUGCAGCUUCUACUUUGCCCACUGGGAUACUCACUUUCAGAGACGGGAUCACCUGUUGUGAGGAAGCCCAGACCAAAGGCAGAGCCAGUAGCUCCAAGUGAGCUUUCAGCCAAAAGCCAGCAGCAACCACCAAGCACCUGAGCCAGCCUCUUGGAGACCCAGCUGAGCUGAGCCUUCACUGACUGCAGCUUCAGUCAAGGUCUGAAUGCAACCUCAUGAGAGACCCUCAGUAAGAACUGCUCAGCUGAACCCUGCCUUUCUUGUGGCUGGGAAGCCAGCUACCAUGUCCUGAGGCCACUCUAACAUCCCCGUGAGAGAGCGCCACCAGGGGAGGAAGGAGGCCACCUGCCAGCAGCCAGGGCUGCCCUUCCAGGUGUGUGGGUGGCCACCUGGACGUAGACCCUCCAGCCCCGGUCACCUUCAGAUGACUUCCGUCUCACCUACAGCCUUGAGAGGCUCCCUGAGCCAGAACCAUCAAGCUGAGCUGAUUCCUCCUUGAGUCUAGAAGCUGUGUGAAAUAAUACAUGUUUAUUGUUUUAAGCUGCU
rnacentral:lncRNA from 1 species